AAAUGAAUUGACGGGGGCCCGCACAAGCGGUGGAGCAUGUGGUUUAAUUCGAUGCAACGCGAAGAACCUUACCUACUCUUGACAUCCACAGAACUUUCCAGAGAUGGAUUGGUGCCUUCGGGAACUGUGAGACAGGUGCUGCAUGGCUGUCGUCAGCUCGUGUUGUGAAAUGUUGGGUUAAGUCCCGCAACGAGCGCAACCCCUAUCCUUAUUUGCCAGCACGUAAUGGUGGGAACUCUAGGGAGACUGCCGGUGAUAAACCGGAGGAAGGUGGGG
rnacentral:rRNA from 1 species